UCCUGGGGUGCAUUAAAAAGAGCAUGGCCAGUCGAGGGAGGUGAUCCUCCCCCUCUACUCUGCCCUGAUGAGGACACAUUUAGACUACUGAGCCCAGAUCUGGGCUCCUCAGUUCAAAAAAGACAGGGAUCUUCUAGAAUGAGUCCAGUGAAGGGCCACAAAGAUGAUGAAGGGCCUGGGACAUCUCCCAUAUGAGGAAAGGUUGGGGCAAACCAUCAACAGAGGACAGAAUCUCCCAGAGAUGCUGAGAUGCCCCAGUGAGCAAUUUGGCUCUUCAAGGUGUUGACGCUUUUCAUACACUCCUCCAAUGUGAGCCUAAGGCAGCUUCUCCAAGGAAUCUGAAGCAGAUUUCUAGAUAUACCUACCGAUUACACUGAGUGUCUCCUACUGGUGUUGCCAUGUAAAAUAUUCCAAGGUUCUGCCCUCCAUAUCCCAAUCAAAAGUCCAUUCUUGUCAAUACAUACUGGGAGCUGUUAUUUGAUUUGGAUGCAUGAGUGAAAGUGAGAAGCCAAGACACACUGAAGGUUUACUCUCUGUCUUAAUUUAUCUACCUAAAAUUUGAGGUUGCUUCACUUUCUGAGACUGCGUCAGUGAAGAGAGGGUCCUGAAAAAUCUUUAUGACUGUUACAGAACAAGUCCAUGUGAGUGCAGCACAAGAAAGCAAGCUGCUACCAAGCAAUACCCAAACCUCCUGCCAUUGAUUCCACUGUAAUCCAAGCUGUAAAGGAAAGAGCUUCUGCUAACCCAAAGACACAGAUCAGUUAUGUAGAGGCUGGUCAGUGUUUGUUUUAAGUAAAUACAAGACAAUGUAAUUAAUGCAAACCUCUUUUCCAUAAAGUGCUUAAGAAAGUGACAGCUUUAUAUGACCUUGGAAUAAAAAAAUCAUUGAAAAUUCAGCAUUGUAUAGGCUUUCAUAACUGUUAAACAACGGGAAAAUGUGAAUACCAGGAAAGAUGAAGAACGGUCAAGCAGAUGCAUGGCAGUAUUUGAAACAGUAAUGAUGUGAAACCAUCAGCACAGACCUGGCCAAUACAAUGUUUUCUUAUUUGCAAAACCUUGAGCUAGUUUGUUCUGUAUAAAAAUCUGAAAGGAUCUUGUGGUUCUCUGUUACUGACUAACACACAUUAAAACUCCAUUUUCUUUUUGACGGUAGUGUUUUAUAAAACACGCCUGAAGGAAUUACCAGCUAAAAUUUCUCUAAGCAUUCAUUUAUUUAUAUCUGUGACUCUUUGAUGCAGAAAGUGUGCACACAUGCUCACUGAGCCCUUUUUUUCUCUUUGCCUUCUAAGAACUCUGCCCACUUCCCAAGCUGCAGGCAAGCUGUGGUGUCUUGAUGAGAUCUGCAUUGUUUAUGAGGAGCACAGUAUUAACAUGCUCAUCUUCAGGAAUACUAAUGAGAGGAAAUGUGCUCUAUAGAUCAAAGCAUAGCAUGCAGAUUACUCCCACCCUGGUAAAGUCUAUGGGGCACAUACUGGGAGACUAUUAUGCUGACUAAAUGCUUAUCUAGGCUAGGAUAAAAGGUGCAUUUUGAAAACAUUUGCCAAACAAAGUGAAGUUAUGCCAACAAUAACUAAUUAAAAAACUCAAAACUAAGGCAGCAGCUAAGGACCUUCAGAUUUAUGUUAAUUUUUAGUAAUGUGAAUGUACUCCUUUUGUAGGAAAUGUAAUUAAAAUAUUAUUUGGGGAAUUAGA